rnacentral:rRNA from 1 species
AGCGAACGCUGGCGGCAGGCCUAACACAUGCAAGUCGAACGAACCUUUCGGGGUUAGUGGCGGACGGGUGAGUAACACGUGGGAACGUGCCUUUAGGUUCGGAAUAACUCAGGGAAACUUGUGCUAAUACCGAAUGUGCCCUUCGGGGGAAAGAUUAAUCGCCUUUAGAGCGGCCCGCGUCUGAUUAGCUAGUUGGUUGAGGUAAUGGCUCACCAAGGCGACGAUCAGUAGCUGGUCUGAGAGGAUGAUCAGCCACAUUGGGACUGAGACACGGCCCAAACUCCUACGGGAGGCGGCAGUGGGGGAUCUUGCGCAAUGGGCGAAAGCCUGACGCAGCCAUGCCGCGUGAAUGAUGAAGGUCUUAGGAUUGUAAAAUUCUUUCACCGGGGACGAUAAUGACGGUACCCGGAGAAGAAGCCCCGGCUAACUUCGUG